CCUACGGGAGGCAGCAGUGGGGAAUAUUGCGCAAUGGGCGAAAGCCUGACGCAGCGACGCCGCGUGAGGGAUGAAGGUCUUCGGAUCGUAAACCUCUGUCAGCAGGGAAGAACGGUCACUGUGCUAAUCAGCAGUGAAUUGACGGUACCUGCAAAGGAAGCACCGGCUAACUCCGUGCCAGCAGCCGCGGUAAUACGGAGGGUGCGAGCGUUAAUCGGAAUUACUGGGCGUAAAGCGCUCGUAGGCGGUAUGUCAAGUCAAGGGUGAAAUCCCCGCGCUCAACGUGGGAACUGCCUUUGAAACUGGCAGACUGGAGUGUGUGAGAGGAUAGUGGAAUUCCAGGUGUAGGGGUGAAAUCCGUAGAUAUCUGGAGGAACAUCAGUGGCGAAGGCGACUAUCUGGCACAUAACUGACGCUGAGGAGCGAAAGCGUGGGUAGCAAACAGGAUUAGAUACCCCAUUAGUC
rnacentral:rRNA from 1 species